rnacentral:rRNA from 1 species
UACGGAGGGAGCUAGCGUUAUUCGGAAUUACUGGGCUUAAAGGGCGCGUAGGCGGGCUGUCAAGUCUGGGGUGAAAUGCCGCGGCUCAACCGUGGAACUGCCUCAGAUACUGACGGCCUCGAGGAAGGUAGGGGCAUGCGGAACUGUAGGUGGAGCGGUGAAAUGCGUUGAUAUCUACAGGAACUCCGGUGGCGAAAGCGGCGUGCUGGACCUUUUCUGACGCUGAGGCGCGAAAGCUAGGGGAGCAAACGGG